rnacentral:pre_miRNA from 1 species
ACUCUGCCCUCAAUUAGAAAAAAAGGCGUGAAUAUUAAUAUUACGGAGUGCUCAAUUUAUUCGGAACUGUCAGCCUUAACCUUGGUAUUGAUACCUACAAAAUGAAUGCAUUUGUUUAUAUUCCAAAGCUGAGAAUUCUAUUUGACGCU